rnacentral:piRNA from 1 species
UCCAUUAAGAGUUGGUUGUACUCUGGGAA